UAUUUGCCUAGGAAAACAAAACAAAUGUUAAAACAGUAUUUAUCAGGAUACUUGUAUAGGUCCAACUCAGAGUAGUUGUUAAAAUUCAGUGUUAUAAAAAUAAAAAAAAAUUCACAGUUAUACACAGUUGUAAUUUGAUUUCUUAACUUUAUGAUUAAGUGUUUUUCUCAGCCUAGAAUGCCAAGUUGUGAAGGGUUCAUAUUCCCAAGCCUGAGUCUCUCCCUCGCUCAGAAAUUAAUAAAGUGAGGAAUAAUCCAGGGUCUAAUGAACUCACCAUCAGACUGACAGCUGUCCCUGCAUCUAAGGAAGCAAACUCUGGGGACUGUGCCCUCUGGGUAAGCCUCACCAGACGAGGAGGUAGAACUCUUACAGAGAAACUGAAUGAAGUAGUAAUGUGAAAAACUGCUACUUAAGCCAUUAACUUUUUUUUUUUUUUAAUGAGGUUGGAAUAUUAAAGGAAAAGAAAAGCCCAGAAAUGCCAGCAGGAAUUGAAUGGCAGCUUUGCCAGAACAAUCAGGAUCAGAGGCCUUCACUGUCUGCUGUUCAGUGCCCCAAAACAGCCUUCCACACUGUUUCUACAUUGUUGUAUCCCAAGGACACUGCAUCUUCAACCAAGAUAUUCUUCUAGCCACGUCAACAAAUACGUAUUAUCUCACUCUGGAGCUUGGAAAAAAAACAACUUCAAAUUGGAAACACAUUAAAAAACUACAUUAAAAACUAAAAGCACAGUAAUUUUAUCUAAAUAAAAAUUCAUUCUUCAUGAGUAAUAGUUAAACACACCUUCUGCAACUGCACUUGUUAAAUUGUUCCCUGUGGCCUUCAGUUCAGUUGUGACCCGAUAACCGCCGCACACCAGGCCUUCCUGUCCAUCACCAACUCCUGGAGUCCACCCAAACCCAAGUCCAUCGAGUUGGUGAUGCCAUC